GUAGCCCUAUUGUCGUUUUCUCCCAUUAUCCCUCCCUAAUUAGUGGUAAACCUGGCUGGCGUAAGCUGAGGUGGCUCCUGAAGGUAGGUGGGAAGAUUCAAAGGACAGAGAAAACAAUCUGGUCCAAAACAAGAUUGGAGGUGGCAUUCCUUCCUCAAACUGCAAGUCAGUGCUUGGUGAAGCUGGGGCUAUUAAACAGCCUGAAGCUGAAGAGAGUGGAAGGAAGUGAUGUCAUCAGACAGAAGUGAUGCACUCAGUGGUGCUAGUGGCACACAGCCCGCAGUCACACCUCAGGGCCACUGGGUCUCACAGCGCCCCCAGCAGGCAUCGGUGGUGAUGUGCAUACCCCCGCAGCCCGGUUUGCGAGCCAGGAAGGUGAACUCCCUCAC